rfam:Trichuris suis scaffold17.1, whole genome shotgun sequence.
CCCGCCUAACUUAAGCAUAUCGUUAAGCGGAGGACAAGAAACUAAACAGGAUUCCCUCAGUAGCGGCGAGCGAACAGGGACCAGCUCAGCGCCGAAGCCGUCGACGGGCGACCGUCGACGGCGGUGUGGUGCGUAGGCCCGGCGGACGUGCGAACAACCUGUCGUCGUAGGCUCCCUUGAUCGGGACGUCGGAGAGGGUGCAAGGCCCGUGACGACGCCGGUUGCCCGCAACGCGCUCGCCGGGCUGUCGAUUCGGGUUGCUCGAGAGUGCAGCCCAAAGCGGGUGGUAAAUCCCACCUAAAUCUAAAUACGACUACGAGACCGAUAGCGAACAAGUACCGCGAGGGAAAGUUGAAAAGAACUUUGAAGAGAGAGUUCAACAGGACGUGAAACCGUUCGGAAGCAAACCGAUGGAGCUGUCGUCGUUUGGUCGGCACUCAGUCGAAACGGGCCGCAGUGACGUUGUGCGCUGCCAGCCAGCCUCGGCCGGUUGGUCACGCCGCUGCCCACAAUGUACGGGCGCCGCACGAUGCACUUGCCGACCAGUGGCGUCACGAGCGACGGGCGGCGGAGCAUGGGCUCGCGCUCGUUGUCGCAACAACAACGGGUGCGCUGCUUGGCCCGGCGCGAAGAGGGUGCUUGGCGUGACCGCUCGUCGUUCACCGACGGGCGGCCCUCCGUCCUGUCACAACCGGCGCGCCGUUUGGCCGCAGCUCCGUCCUGACGCUUGCCGCCUGUCGCCCAGCGAAACGCGCGAGACGACCUUGCCGACUGGCAGUCGACGACGGUUCGUGCCAGCGGGCGACCGUUGGCCGCGCUGCCGACUGCGCUCCAUGCCGAGGCGCACGGCGGUCCCGGCGUACGUUCAACCAUUUUUGACCAGUCGCCCUUUAGGACCGGUUCACCCCGCGCUUCCUUCUGAGGUGGCUUGCGUGGUUGACGGUUGCGCUGUUGCGACGCCAGCCGACGCCUUCGACCAGUCGGCCGAGGCGAACUCUGUGACGUCCGCGUCAGUCGCUCAUCGGACCCGUCUUGAAACACGGACCAAGGAGUGCAGCUUGUGCGCAAGUCAUUGACACAACUGACUACGGUCAACGGCGAAACGAGAGUGCUCUGUGCGCGGCUCUUUUGCCCGCACCUCGCUGAUCCCGUCGCCGCCACCGCUGCUGCUGGCGGUGGCGACGGGCGCACAGCGGUGCCGCCGGAUCCGUCGCCGCUAACUUGGCCUUCGGGUCGACCAAGCGAACGGUCGGGCCUGCGGACUCGGAGCGCACACGCUGCUACCCGAAAGAUGGUGAACUAUGCAUGAGCAGGACGAAGCCAGAGGAAACUCUGGUGGAAGUUCGUAGCGGUGUUGACGUGCAAAUCACUCGCCCGACUUGUGCAUAGGGGCGAAAGACUAAUCGAACCAUCUAGUAGCUGGUUCCUUCCGAAGUUUCCCUCAGGAUAGCUGGCGUUCGCAUGCAGUUUUAUCCGGUAAAGCGAAUGAUCAGAGGUAUUGGGGACGCAAUGUCCUCAUCCUAUUCUCAAACUUUGAAUGGGUAAGAAGGCCGAUUUGCUUUGAGAAAUCGCGCCGCUCUUCCCCCGGAAUGCCUCGAACGGCUAGUGGGCUAGUUUUGGUAAGCAGAACUGACGAUGUGGGAUGAACCGAACGUCAGGUUACGGUGCCCAAUGUUCGGUGCUCAUCAGACACCAUGAAAGGUGUUGGUCGAUAUAGACAGCAGGACGGUGGCCAUGGAAGUUGGAAUCCGCCAAGGAGUGUGUAACAACUCACCUGCCGAAUCGACUAGCCCUGAAAAUGGAUGGCGCUCGAGCGCCGAGCCUGUACCUGACCGCCUCGGCAAUGUUGUUGUCGGUCCCGCGCGUGCAUUUGCGGACGACCGAAGGCCAAGCGGUGUUGGAAGAGGUCGCGACGGUGUGCGUUGAAGGUGUCGAGCGUGAGCUCGCCCGGAGCCGCCGUCGGUGCAGAUCUUGGUGGCAGUAGCAAUUAUUCAAGUGAGAACCUUGAAGGCCGAAGUGGAGAAGGGUUCCAUGUGAACAGCAAUUGCACAUGGGUCAGUCGAUCCUGAGAACGAGGCGAAAGCCCAGGCGCAGCGGUGUGACAUCGUUCCUUUGUUGGCCGUAGCCAGCAGCACGCCGUACCGUUCGAAAGGGAAUCCGGUUGAAAUUCCGGAACCGAGCCACGGAGAUGUACACCCGCGUCUCCGGCUGUCGCUUCCGCGGCGGUGGCCUCGUCGCCGCUCGCUGUUCGGUUUGCGCGGCUGGAAGUGCGCGGGACUGGUGCGCGCGGUAACGCCCUUGAACUCGGCCAGCAGUCGUCGGCAGUUCCGGAAAGAGUUUUCUUUUCUUCAUAAAGCACGCAGUCGCUGGAACCGGGUUGUCCGGAGAUAGCGACGAUGUCGCCGCUUAACGCCGCGUCUCCCGUGGCGUUCGGUACGCUCUCGACGGUCCGUGAAAAGCCGAGCUACGCCGUAUAAAUCCGUGCUCGCUCGUAGCCAUAUCCGCAGCAGGUCUCCAAGGUGAACAGACUCCGGCC